CAGCCGCCACGGUAAUACAGAGGAUGCAAGCGUUAUCCAAAAUGAUUGGGCGUAAAGCGUCUGUAGGUGGCUUUUCAAGUCCGCCAUCAAAUCCCAAGGCUCAACCCUGGACAGGCGGUGGAAAAUACCAAGCUGGAGUACGGUUGGGGCAGAGGGAAUUUCCGGUGGAGCGGUGAAAUGCGUUGAGAUUGGAAAGAACACCAACGGUGAAAGCACUCUGCUGGGCCGACACUGACACUGAGAGACGAAAGCUAGGGGAGCAAAUGGGAUUAGAUACCCGAGUAGUCCCUGUCUCUUAUAC
rnacentral:rRNA from 1 species